AUGAGUGCCACUUUUGGCCGAGCACCGGCUCCAGCUCCGGCACCAGCCCCAGUGGAAAAGCGGUAUCAGAGCCUGCAAUCAUUAAGUGCAGAGCUGAGACAGGCUGCUGCAGAUACACACUGUGAUUACUUUUACUUUCGACUGGAAUGCAUUGUCCAUGUUUUGUCCAGAUUUGUUUUGUAUGGACCACAGCAACAUGAAGAGGAGAUAUUUUCCCUUUUAAGUGGUGCCUUACAUGAACUACAUAUCUUUUCUUUGCCAGUCCAAAACUGUGAAAGUUUUUCCUUUCUCAAUGAAGAACAACUGAAGUAUUUGCUGGACGAACAUUUCACUGUUAAAGAAAUUGCUGCAAUGUAUUCUGAAAGUCAAAGAACAAUCCGGAACAGAAUGACCCAGUAUCAUUUAUCUGUGAGGCAGACUUACAGUGAUAUCACUGGUGAAGAUUUCAUGGACUUCAUUGCCAGUUCUCCUAAUACAGGACAAAAGAUGGUCAUGGGACAUCUUAAAACCAGAAUUAUAAGGUUGCUUUAUUUGCCAGCCAGGACAUACAGCAACAUGCAAGUUUGGGUAUUAGGUUUAGAUGAACUAAAGUGUAAUUUAAUUUAAUUUAACACUUUCAUGAAUGAAUUUUAUUAGUUUUAAGAAAUUAUCUUUUAUUGACUUUGAUAUGCAUAGCAACAUAUUUGUGCCAAGACGACCUUAUUCAGUUCCAGCACCUCUCUCCCUCCGGCAUAUUGAUGGCAAUCUUAAACUUUUCCAGUAAAACUUAUAAAAGAAGGAAUGUCACAC
ensembl:lncRNA